GACGAACGCUGGCGGCGUGCCUAAUACAUGCAAGUAGAACGCUGAAGGAGGAGCUUGCUUCUCUGGAUGAGUUGCGAACGGGUGAGUAACGCGUAGGUAACCUGCCUGGUAGCGGGGGAUAACUAUUGGAAACGAUAGCUAAUACCGCAUAAUAGUAGAUGUUGCAUGACAUUUGCUUAAAAGGUGCAAUUGCAUCACUACCAGAUGGACCUGCGUUGUAUUAGCUAGUUGGUGAGGUAACGGCUCACCAAGGCAACGAUACAUAGCCGACCUGAGAGGGGGGGCGGGCGGACAGAGAGUGGGCGAGGGACCGAACGCAUACGUGAGGGAGCAGUAGGUGAUGUGGGUAGAUGGACGGACGUCUGACUGAUGAAGUGCGACGGAGUGAAGAAGGGUUUCGGUUGGUAAAGCACUGUUUUAAGAGAGUAAAGAGGGUGGGCCUGGAAAGUGCACGCUGUGACGGUACCUUACUAGAAAGGGAAGGAUAACUACGUG
rnacentral:rRNA from 1 species